ensembl:misc_RNA Metazoa_SRP Metazoan signal recognition particle RNA
GCAGGGGGAGGCACGUUCUCUGAGAACUGGUGUGUGCCUGUAGUCCCAGCUACUUGGGAUGCUGAGGCGGGAGAAUCAUCUGAGCCCAGGAGUUCUGGGCUGUAGUGCACUAUGCUGAUUCUGUGUCUGCACAAAGUUUGGCAUCAAUAUGGUGACCUCCUGGGAGUGGGGAACUACCAGGUUGCCUAAGGAGGGGUGAAAUGGCGCAGGUCAGAACUCCUGUGCUGAUUAGAAGUGUUGGCUGCAUACCACCUGGAGCACCACUGACUGCAAGUGUGAGAACUUCUGACUUAA